GAUGGGUAAAUCAUGCUUCUCAUUGGAUAUGCCUGCAUUGAUUCAUCCCGUUGAACACUCUCAUGCCUUUGCACAAUUAGAAUUUCAUCAAGGAAUCUGAGGAAGGAAGUGUGAUGCAUGUCCAGAUCAGAUGUUCGUCCAGAGGUUCCUGUGUUUACGGAGGGUUGCAGAUGUGAUCACAAGCAAUUUCAUGCUUGAACUUGAUUGUCAGAUUGCUUAGAUAAUUUUACGGCAUAAACCUGUGUAGGCAUCAGUUUUCUUCUGAGGUUACUUUUUGUCAUCUAUAUAUUCUGUGAUGGAGUUUGAUUUGAGUUUUUCUAACUUUGAGAUAAUUCUAGGCGUGCUAUUGAUAAUUCUGAGAUUUAUAGUUCUAGACUAUGUCCUAUGUGAUCCCUAACAUGAUAGAAGAGGCAAAGGAUAUGCAUGUGUUUUUGCAUGGAUUUCACUGGAUUCAAGUUUCCUAGUUAUACCAAUUAUGUCCUAAAUACUUGAAUUUAUACUA